AAGAUUGGAGGAGGACCAGUAGUGGUACACUGUAGUGAUACAGUGAGUCGUUCAGGAGUGUAUUGUUCAGUGAGUAUUGGUCUAGAACAGUGUAAGGCAGAAGGUGUAGUGGAUGUGUUUCAAGUGACUAAAGCUGUGAGAAGGAGUAAACCAGGAGCUGUGACUACACUGGAGCAGUAUACUUCCAUAUAUGAUGUGAUUGACAUGUACCUU